UGGGGAAUAUUGCACAAUGGGCGAAAGCCUGAUGCAGCAACGCCGCGUGAGCGAUGAAGGCCUUCGGGUCGUAAAGCUCUGUCCUCAAGGAAGAUAAUGACGGUACUUGAGGAGGAAGCCCCGGCUAACUACGUGCCAGCAGCCGCGGUAAUACGUAGGGGGCUAGCGUUAUCCGGAUUUACUGGGCGUAAAGGGUGCGUAGGCGGUCUUUUAAGUCAGAAGUGAAAGGCUACGGCUUAACCGUAGUAAGCUUUUGAAACUGGAGGACUUGAGUGCAGGAGAGGAGAGUGGAAUUCCUAGUGUAGCGGUGAAAUGCGUAGAUAUUAGGAGGAACACCAGUAGCGAAGGCGGCUCUCUGGACUGUAACUGACGCUGAGGCACGAAAGCGUGGGGAGCAAACAGG
rnacentral:rRNA from 1 species